rnacentral:rRNA from 1 species
GAUGAACGCUCGCUACAGGCUUAACACAUGCAAGUCGCGGGGCAGCAUGGGGGUUGCUUGCAAUCCCCGAUGGCGACCGGCGCACGGGUGAGUAACGCGUAUCCAACCUGCCCUUCACCACGGGAUAACCCGGCGAAAGUCGGACUAAUACCGUAUGUUUUCCAUUGACGGCAUCCGAUUUGGACGAAAGGUUUGGCGGUGAAGGAUGGGGAUGCGUCCGAUUAGCUGGACGGCGGGGUGACGGCCCACCGUGGCGACGAUCGGUAGGGGUUCUGAGAGGAAGGUCCCCCACACUGGAACUGAGACACGGUCCAGACUCCUACGGGAGGCAGCAGUGAGGAAUAUUGGUCAAUGGGCGUAAGCCUGAACCAGCCAAGUAGCGUGCAGGAUGACGGCCCUAUGGGUUGUAAACUGCUUUUAUGCGGGGAUAAAGUGGCCCACGUGUGGGUUUUUGCAGGUACCGCAUGAAUAAGGACCGGCUAAUUCCGUG